rnacentral:rRNA from 1 species
GCAGUGAGGAAUAUUGGUCAAUGGACGCAAGUCUGAACCAGCCAUGCCGCGUGAAGGAUGAAGGCGUUCUGCGUUGUAAACUUCUUUUACCAGGGAAGAAACCACUUUAUUCUUAGAGUGUUGACGGUACCUGGGGAAUAAGCACCGGCUAACUCCGUGCCAGCAGCCGCGGUAAUACGGAGGGUGCAAGCGUUAUCCGGAUUUACUGGGUUUAAAGGGUGUGUAGGCGGACUGUUAAGUCCGGGGUGAAAUCCCGAAGCUCAACUUCGGAACUGCCCUGGAUACUAUCGGUCUUGAAUUAUGUUGAGGUUGGCGGAAUAUAACAUGUAGCGGUGAAAUGCAUAGAUAUGUUAUAGAACACCGAUUGCGAAGGCAGCUGGCUAAGCAUAUAUUGACGCUGAGGCACGAAAGCGUGGGGAUCAAACAGGAUUAGA